rnacentral:rRNA from 1 species
AACGAACGCUGGCGGCAGGCCUAACACAUGCAAGUCGAGCGCGCCCUUCGGGGUGAGCGGCGGACGGGUGAGUAACGCGUGGGAACGUGCCCUUUUCUACGGAAUAGCCUCGGGAAACUGAGAGUAAUACCGUAUACGCCCUUUGGGGGAAAGAUUUAUCGGAAAAGGAUCGGCCCGCGUUGGAUUAGGUAGUUGGUGGGGUAAUAGCCUACCAAGCCGACGAUCCAUAGCUGGUUUGAGAGGAUGAUCAGCCACACUGGGACUGAGACACGGCCCAGACUCCUACGGGAGGCAGCAGUGGGGAAUCUUAGACAAUGGGGGCAACCCUGAUCUAGCCAUGCCGCGUGAGUGAUGAAGGCCUUAGGGUUGUAAAGCUCUUUCAGCUGGGAAGAUAAUGACGGUACCAGCAGAAGAAGCCCCGGCUAACUCCGUG